rnacentral:rRNA from 1 species
UGCUGAAAGCAUCUAAGCACGAAACUUGCCCCGAGAUGAGUUCUCCCUGAGACUUUAAGUCUCCUGAAGGAACGUUGAAGACGACGACGUUGAUAGGCCGGGUGUGUAAGCGCAGCGAUGCGUUGAGCUAACCGGUACUAAUGAACCGUGAGGCUUAACCUUACAACGCCGAAG